ACUCCCAUGGGGUGACGGGAGGUGUGUACAAUGCCCGGGAACGUAUUCUCCGCGGCGGCUGGGACAAUCAAUAUUGAAUUCUAUCCACAAUGUACACGAUGAAUGCUAGGUGUAGGAGGUAUCGACCCCUUCUGUGCCGAAGUCAACACAAUAAGCAUUCCGCCUGGGGAGUACGGCCGCAAGGUUGAAACUCAAAGGAAUUGACGGGGGCCCGCACAAGCAGCGGAGCAUGUGGAUUAAUUCGACGCAACGCGAAGAACCUUACCAGGUCUUGACAUCCAGUAAAGCCUGUAGAGAUACAGAGUCCCUUCGGGGGUACUGAGACAGGUGGUGCAUGGUUGUCGUCAGCUCGUGUCGUGAGAUGUUGGGUUAAGUCCCGCAACGAGCGCAACCCUUGUCUUUAAUUGCCAUCAUUCAGUUGGGCACUUUAAAGAGACUGCCGGUGUUAAACCGGAGGAGGGUGGGGAUGACGUCAAGUCCUCAUGGCCUUUAUGCCCUGGCUACACACGUGCUACAAUGGGUGGUACAAAGAGCAGCGAACUCGCGAGAGUAAGCGAAUCUCAAAGAGCCAUCCUCAGUUCGGAUUGAAGUCUGCAACUCGA
rnacentral:rRNA from 1 species